UAAUACAAGCACUAACCAUAUAUUCAAAUUAUGGAGCAACUGCUGAGAAGUGUUUGCAAGGCCCAGUGCUAAAAACCACAUCCUCCAUGCCCAGUGUGAAGGAAUCAUAACAAACUUUACUCAGAGUCACAAGUUUGGAUCAAAUGUUGAAGAUGCUCAUAUGCUAACACUCCCUAGGUUUAACUUCAUAUUUCCAGAAGAAUGGGGAGGUGGUGAGCAGGGGCUGGGGAUUCUAGUGCAGGCCCCAGUCUGUCCAGUCAGAGUCUGCUCCUAUGAUACUCCCAGAUGAUGCUUGUCACCUUUCAAGGAAAUUUAGCCCAGUUAGAUACAACUCUCAGACUCCAAAGAUACUCUGAGAAGUGGGUGCCGUUGCAGUCUCAGGGAUUUCUGCCAUCCUGAGGCUUAUCUCAGUGUUUUCAGUCAUUGGAGCCUUCAGCAGCCGUCAAGUCUGCCAUCCUGUUAUGAAGGAAGUCAUGCCGAGGGAACAGGGAGUGUGAGCUGACGUAAAGACAAGAGGGACAAACAACACACAGAGAAGCUAAAAAUCAUCACUGUGAACACCUGCAGCUCUGCCCUGGACCAACCCUCACUGGGCCUCCAAUCUCUGCCAACGAGGGGGUUUAUCUCAAGCUCUCCUCAGCCAGGUCUUGCCAACACAGGGUGGGGGUAGACAGCAUCCACCCAAAUCCUGGGCUGAGCCCUGGGGCCUCUGCCAGCAGGUCCUGGGCAGUUGUCUGCCCUGUGCACAGGGCUCAGUCUGGGAAGGGGGUGCCUCUGGAAGCUGUGGUCUCUGCUCUUAGUCAGUGGAGGGGUGCAUGGUAGUAAAAAAUGUCUGGGAUUUGGAGCCAGAGCUGGAUCAAAUCCUGAUGCUGCUGUUUAUUAGUUUUGUAGCCCUGAGCAAGUUACUUACCCUCUCAGCCUCAUAGCCACAUAAAAGCUGGAAACACUACCAGCAACCCGGAGUGUUAUGGAGAGGUGAGAGGAAAUGUAUGUAAGUUUUCUAGAAGACUGCCUGAAAGGCAGUCGGCUCCUAAAAUCCUAGCUGGUGAUGAUGGUGGUAGUAGAGAAAGAGGAGGAGGAGGGGAACAGUAUUGUUGAGGAAGGGAGACUGGUGGCCACAGAGCCUCUGCUCCGUAAAUGCUUAGGGCAGUGUGGUGGGAGCAGGUCACACACAGCCUUGCAGUUCUCAAUGUCGCCCUUUCAAAAGGUGUACGAACAUUGCUUGUCAUGAAUUGAAUUGUGUCCCCCCAAAAUAUGUGUCGACUUGGUUAGGCUAUGAUUUCCAGUAUUAUGUGGUUGUUCUCCAUUUUGUGAUUGUAAGUUUAUGUUACAGAGGAUUCGGGUGGGAUUGUAACACCCUUACCAAGGUCACAUCCCUGAUCCAAUGUAAAGGGAGUUUCCCUGGAGUGUGGCCUGCACCACCUUUUAUCUUAAAAGGGAUAAAAGGAAAAGGAAGCGAGCAGAGAGGGGGGUACCUCAUACUAUCAAGAAAGAAGCACUGGAAGCAGAGUGAGUCCUUUGGCCCCAGGGUUCCAGUGCAGAGAAAUUCCUAGUACAGGGGAAGAUUACUGAGAAGGACCUUCCUCCAAAGCUAACAGAGAGAGAAAGCCUUCCCUUGGAACUGACACCCUGAAUUAGGAGUUCUAGCCUACUAGACUGUGAGAAAAUAAAUUUCUGUUUGUUAAAGACAUCCACUUGUGGUAUUUCUGUUACAGCAGGACUAGAUGACUACGACAUCCCUCCACUCUCAGCUUACCUUGUGACUUCCCUCUUGGCUUGUACUUUCCCUCAGGUUGUGCCCUGAGCCUUCUCAGAAGGUAUAGAAACUGGACCAUCCUCAAAAACCCAGAGAAGCGGAGGCCCUUCCCUGAGGCCAGUCCCAGUACUUCCUGUGUGCAGUCGGGCCUGAGCUUUGAAGAGACUACGUGCUGUGAGACUCCCUGCCACAUGCUGUCCUGGCCAUUCCCACGAGCUUCCCAGCCAAAGGCCCUGGGCAGCCUAGGGUGAGAUCCAGACCCAGUGGCCCAGAUCCAGCUCAGGCAGCACCUCCUGUCACGGCGCCAUCAUGCCUCUGCCCCAGCGUCCCUGGGCCACUCACUGUGCUGCAGUCAGCAGAGGGUGCAUCGCUACGCCUCUCAGGCCCCCACCAUGGUCCUGCUCUGCCUCAGGAAGAAGGCCAGGCUCACUGAUGUGGCUAGGAGUCAAAAGGGCUGGAUCAUGUGGAGGGAGGAGUAGGGAGCCAACCAGGAAGCAGCUCAGACAACUGCAGCCCUGCCUGUACUUACCUACUUAGAGAAAAGGUGCUCUGAAGGGUACUUGAGACAAACACCUGUGCCUGGCCUCGUUACCGUCAGCCCGGAAGCCGAGGAGCAGCACCAGGAAGAAGGAGCAGGCACCCAGCAGGUUCCUGCCACCUGGCUGUAACCGGGGGGCUGCAGGUGACUGUAAGCGCUUGCCAACCAGUGUGCUAUGGCUUAAAGAGGCCGUGGGUGGACCCGGGCCCAGAUCCCUGCCCUCGACAGUACCCUGUGCUUGGUGACCCGUGCUCCAGCAGACAUAGAAUGAUCUGACCUGAAAAAGCUGAUCAACGUGAGUAGCAGCCAACACUGCUCAUGGUACUAUACCCCAGGCACAGCCUCACAUCCUUUGCUUUUAUCUGCUCACAUCAUCCAGUGAAAGCCCUGCAAGGCAUAGGGGCCACGUGCCCCCAAAAGGGUCAGGACCUGGGAUAGACUCUGCUGCGGCCUGUCCAGCCUGUGAGGGCUGGGCAACACCAAGGGCUGUUCUUGGAUGGUUACAGUGACGUUGAGGGCCUGGUGGUCCUGGGAGGGUCUGAGGGCAAGUCUGGGGGGCCAAAGGGGCCCAGAAGGUGAUCCCGGAGCACUCAACACCCACCCUCCCCUAUAACCUGGAGCUCAGGUGCAAAUAUGUCCUGGCCUUCUGCACACCUGCAUCCAGCACUGGCCAGGUCCAGUGGCUGAUAGAUCCCGGGAGCUCCCGAGCCACUCCUGAGCCAAACCCUUCCUGCUGCCGAGCACCUCUGCUGACAGCCAGCUGUGAUGGCCUUGGGUGCCCAGCAGAGUGGAGGGCAUUCAGAUGUCCACACUGAAGACUCCAGCUACAACUCCCUGAGGCCUGGACUCAGUUAGGGGCAUCUUCCUGAAGUCAAUUCCUGACCCCAUCUGAGCAGCCCAACUCUGUGGCACCUCUGGGAGCUGUUCCUGAAGGCCAGCAGGGUGACCUCUCUCCCUGCAUCCAAGCCCUCCCUGUCGGGAGCCUAACCAGCCAGCCGUUCCCGCCUCAACUGAGUGGACAGGAGAGUGAGGAGGCCAUGAAGCUGCUCAGUACCACGGCACAGAGCGCCGGCCAGGACCUAGUUCAGGGCGUGUAUGUGGUAUGUGCACACUCAUGAGUUUGUGUGUUUGUGUGUGCAGGCUCACACACCUUUGGAACCACGUCAAUGGGGAGACUGGGGGAGAAGGGCAAGGGAGGCAGGCAGAUUUGGGGCCAACAGCUCUGCUCCCACCUCAUCCCAACCUCCACGGGUCUUGGGCACUGCAAUGUCCCUUAGAACCUCAGUAUCCGGAGCUGAACUCAAAGGGUUUAAGGGGCCAGAAGACACGGUGAGUGGAAAAUCGCCCUAUAAAAUUGCUCUGGCAGCUAUGCACAGUAGGGGGUGCCUCUCUGCUGUUCCCCCAGUGGCUGCAGUGCUGAGAAGCCCCAGGCCCAUGUCCUGGCUCCGUUAGCAGGGACAGACAUACAGGCAGCUGGGAAACGUGUCCUAAUUUAUCUCACACAGUUUCAACUCUGGGAAAUCACAGAUCUCACUUGGCCAGGCUCCCUCCCACCCACCCUCUACCCCAUGUCAG